UUAAUCCCACGUUGUAAUAUCAUUCAUGUAGUCUUGUGUGGUAUAAUAAGCUUUAGAAAUAACUUUAAGAGUCCUUACUCCUACAGACGAGCGUAUUUUGCAAAAUGCUUCCUUUUUCAUUUAAGAUUACGACGUAACUAUUAGUAUUUAUUCAAAAACUGAUAACGUACUUAAAUAAUCAUUUCUUAAACUAGGGGCUGAAAACGUUCAAAUUUUCAUUUUCUCUUUUUGAACCUAAAAUAAAUGAGUUUUCUUAGGAGUCUUUUUCAAAUUUUGCAGUGAGAAGGGUCGUUUCGGUUCUCAAUUUUGCAGUAAACAAGAAUCAUUUGGUACAUGAAUGAUUACAAUUCAACUCACCAUAUCUUGUACGAGGGGCUGACAUGCUUGAAAAUCGAAGAUUCAUUUAAAAAAAUUGAUAAAAAACCUUCCGAGUUUUCUUCAUUUUUUUGGUGAAAACAGGGUUACAUUACAUUUUUUUAUCGCAAAUUGGACUUAUA